UACGUAGGGGGCAAGCGUUGUCCGGAAUUACUGGGCGUAAAGCGCGUGUAGGCGGUUGUCCAAGUUGGAUGUGAAAGCCUUGAGCUUAACUCAAGAAAUGCAUUCAGGACUGGAUGACUAGAGGACCGGAGAGGAUAGUGGAAUUCCCAGUGUAGUGGUGAAAUACGUAGAGAUUGGGAAGAACACCAGUGGCGAAGGCGGCUAUCUGGACGGUUUCUGACGCUAAGACGCGAAAGCGUGGGGAGCAAACAGG
rnacentral:rRNA from 1 species